AUAGGACAAGACUAUUAAUAGACUUGUUUUGUAAUUCUAAACCUUCAGCACUUGCUCGUCUAACAGGAAAACAAGGAAUGAAAUGAUCAUUUUGUUUGUGCCGCUUUGGAAUGUCACAGAAAUACUGACGAGUAAAGACACAGAGAGGCUGUUUGACAAAACACAUAAAACACACAAAGAGGUGAACGAGCACAAAUAAAGACAGCCGAGCAGGCAGGGAAUAAACUAAAUUACAGGCGAACAGCUGAGUUAAACAGUUAAAACGGCACUAAGUCAGGUCCAAAUCAUUCAAUUAGUUUCCUGAAUUAGCCAGAGCACAGCGUGCCGUUAAGGUCAAAAAACACUCCGCUUGAAAAGUCAUCUGCACAGGAGCAAGAGAUGAAUUCAUUUAUUUCUGUGCAAUUUCUACUUCCACAUCUGCAACAGAAAAAAAAAAAAACACAUUAAUGUCUGGCUAUAAAAUAUACUGUGAAAGAAGUGGAUGGCUGUUUUGUCUGGGAGUGCCCCUCCCUCCCCCUCUGCAAUGAGUUAGAUGUGAAAGAACGUGUGCCUGCAUUUGAUAAGGUACAAGGACGGCGUUCUGAAUUCAACUCCUGCCUGAAAAGAUAUCACCCUCUGUGCCCUGUUUUGAAACGCAACAAAAAGAUGUCAGGAGAGGAGGAGGAAAACAUCGCUGCAUCUCGGUAGUUGUUUCAUUAUGUUCAGCGCCGAUUGGCCGGCUGCCUCUCCUCCGUCUCGUGAAGAUGCACGGCCGAAGCGCCGGUGCCUGACACGGCAAACAUUUCACAGCGCAGUCAUCCUGCCGCUCCAUUUGCAAAGAUUUAUUGUUCGUGUUAAAGCAGCUGAUAUUUUAAAAGCAUACGGUAGUUUUCGGUGUAUUCCUGACAGACACUGAUUUCACCUCGCAUGCAGUCUGAUAACCAACGUGCAGAGACUUGAAAAUUGCUGGAGACAGACAAGACAAGUCAGUGUUUAGCUCUGAUGUUGUCAGUCAUGUUAUUGUUGGGUGGUAAAGCAGCUGAAAGCAACGAUGCGUUCGAUAACAACAGAAAAAAAACAGCAUGAUCCCUGAGAAAUAAACAUGUAGAGCUUGGCUGUUUAAAGAUGACACAGCUGUCAAACGUGUGUAUUAUGUCUUAUAUGCCUCAGCCACUUUCCCCAGCUCCCUUCAAGAAUGCGAACAAAGUUAUUUCUUCCACACAUUUCAUUUGCAAGUCUUUCCAUUUGGAGUUAAUUAAGCUGUCAUCUUUUAAUUACUGCUUCUCUUAUUAUCAUGAACAGGUGAGAAUCUUUCUUCUUGAUCUCUUCUGGUAAUUUCCCAACAAGUGAGGUUUUCUUGAAUCAAAGUCAAAUGAGUGAAUUUCUUUAGAAGUUCACUUAUUUUUAUUUUCACUUCCACGUUCCUCGUUAUUUUGUGAAAAAAAAAAAAAAUGAAGGGAAAAUUCCCAACUGUCUAUUAUGAGUGUGGACAACACUAACUUUGCACUGAGCACCUCUGUUGUAACAACGACUCCAGCGAAACGACACUUGGGCAAAGCUCUUAAAGCUUUUAGUUUCACAUAAAUCAUUCAAACUCUUUUCCUGUGUAUGUGUUGUUGUUGAUUUAAAGCACCUUUGAAAGGUGCAACAAGCCUUUAAGUUUAUUGCAUGUCAAACUGUACAAGAUGGAAUCUAAUACAACCUUGUUCAUACUGCGAUAUCAAUAAACUUUCACCACAGACCUAAAACCUGGAAGUGUAAAUGGGCCUUUACUACGCGUCUGUGCUGGAGAAGUAGCAGCUAACGGCAGAAGAUUUGUUUACAAGUUUCAAGAAAACUAGGUGCAAUAGCUGCUUAUCCAAUGGACUAUUUGAGGAAAGUCAUGAGUUGUUUCACUUUGAUGGCCGGCCAGAUUUACUGGACCAGAUGUCACGCAGAGGUAGAAAGACAUGAAGUCCCACCAGACAGCAGGACUCCCACAGCAGCCAGCUGUUUGCAGAGGUUUGGCCAAAUUGAAAGUGAAGGUAGUAAAUACAACAAACGGACUAAAAUGUUACUGCAAUUUGAUUCAAGAAAAGUGAAAGUGAAAGUGAAAAGAAUCCGGCCUCAACAACAGGACAAUGAUCCAAAGUAGAUCUAAAAAAAUCCCCCAGGAGCCGAGUCCAGAAACACAAGCUGCAGCUUCUGGAACGAUCCCUCACACUUCCCCGACUCCAACAUCCUUGAAGAUCUGCGGUUAGAUCUGAAACAUGCUGCGUGUGCAAGACGGCCUAAAAAUAUCUCCGAACUUGAAGUGAUCCGCAAGGAGGAGCGGGAGAAAAUAGAAAAAGACUUUGAGCGGGAUACAAAAAGCAUUUGCCGCUCGGAUUAAUAUUGCUGCCUUGGAGACUGUGUUUCACCUCCACUGAACCAAACAGUCAGCAACAAACAUAAACACUCAUACAGAGACAUUUCUGGACAUGUAGAUGGAAUAAAUGUUGAUUUUUACUGGAGAUAAAUAGGUAGUUUUCAAGCUAAGGGGUCGUAUAAUUAGGAGGCUCAUGCUGAUUACUCUAAUGUCAGGGUUCCCGCUCUUUUCUUGAGAUCAUUUUCAGUGACGAUCUCGCUCAUGUGACAGACGGGAAUCCAAACACCGACAUGUUCCCAUCUGUGGAAGUCUGGUUUGAUUCUACAGUCUAUACUUAUUCAUGAAAUCCUCUCUUACAUGCUUAAUUAAUUAUGAAAUUAUGACAAAUUGAUCGCAAGUACUUUGUCGCUUAAAUAAAUAAAAUGUAUGAUUAUUAAUUUAUAACCUGACUCACUUUUUUCUAACGAAUUAUAUUAACCUCCUGCCUGAACACCAAUAACUAAACAGUAGUAAUAUUAUCUUGUACAGACAGAACUGUAAUAUUAAUGUAAUAACUUUUCUUUUUCUUUCAGAAAAGUUCAAUCGUACUUCCAUCGUGUCGUCUCUUGUGGCGCCGGGUUGAUUCAUUUCUCCUGCUCCUCCUGUAAUCCCUUCACCCUGCACACAUCGUCACUGAGGCUGCAUAUCACCCAGACUCCUCCGACUUCCUCUCACAAUAUGAGCUCUGCCGCUGCCGUAUCAGGUUCCCAGGAUCCCGUAUCAGACGUGGCGCCAUGGUAACUCACCGUGCGUCAUGCGGUAACCAAAGAAGGCUGCUACAGCAACCACAGCCAUCACGGAGACUGUUGCCAGGGCGAUAAUUACCGUCUCUUCGUAGCGCAGCGGGCGAGGGUCUGCAAAGGGGGGGACACAAGGCACAAAUCAAACUGCGACCUUUAUGAAGGAGGAGCACAUGAAACCAUGCACCGGCCUCAGAGGGACACCACACACUGGAGCCGUCCUCCAUACUAUGGGCUGUGCAGUGGUGGGGCUGGGCAGCGGGAAGUCCUCCGUGAAGUUGACGUUGCACAUGUCGCUCCCGCAGCAGCAGAAGUGGUACGUCCCGUUCUGGAUCUGCGGCGGGAGGUUGGUCACCACGCAGCGG